rnacentral:misc_RNA from 1 species
AUAUUUAACGGAUUUUUUCUGUACAGAAUACUGAUAUGAUAUUUUCUAAUAAUCCCUGUUGAUUCACAAAAUGUCUGAAUAUUGGUUGUAAAUUGUAAUGGUCGAAAUGACAGUUAUUGACCCUUUUGAUAUAAGUGAAAUGGCCAUUUAAGCUAAAAUGUUUUGUGGGCUGUGAUGUUUAGGCAGAGGAGGAGGAGAAGAAUUUAUGCAUUCAAGAUAACAUAAAAUCCCACCACUGUACAGAUUUAUGAUCCAUCAGUUCAUCCAUGACUGUUGAGAAAAUAAUAUAAAAGUCUUGAAGUUAAAAUGAUUAAGAAAAGAAAAUAAAAGAGUUGGAAAAAAUUGUUGUUGCUAGAAUCUGAAUCCUUCAACUUGUGGUGUCAAAUAUGGAAAAAAAUGGAAUUUUUCAAUGAUUUCUCCUCUUGGAGAUUAAGUACUUGUGUCAAUGUAACAUUUUGGAAGUGCUAUUAUACACUUGGAACAUUAGGAAAGUAAUUUCGAGUUUGCUGUAGAGCUGAAUAUUAUGGAAGCAGUGUAAAUUAUCCAUGACUGAACAUAACUGUUGUUUCGAUUGCUUCUCUGCAAAAUUUGAAUUUCAGACCAACCAGAUUGGUAGUUUCAACAAAAUCUUCGUUUUCUAACAGCCUAAACCACGAGUCAUUUUGGUUUUCAUGAUUAAUAAGUUCAGCUACAGCUGUAUGCCAAAACAAGGGGGAGGGGGCGGUGUUGGGAUACUUCAUGCGAGAGUUUUAUCAUAAUGGGUUAAAAAUUAUGCCAGAGGAAUGCAUGAUAUGAAUUCAUGUGCACUUGCUGGGACAUGCGUGAUUUUAUUUCUUAUGGUUUAAACUACUUACAAGAAUGCCAAAUAAUUAUGCAGGAAAAUAGGUCAUGGGAUACAACA